CCAUAAAGAGGAAGCUUCUUGUUGCAAAGACAUAACUGAAAGUUCAACAAGAUCAGAAGAAAUCAGAGAGGUUGGAAUCAACUAUGGAGAUGAGAAAGUGUCUUGGCACCAUGCUUUUGCUCUUUCUUAUAUUUAUUCCCAAUGACAUCUUCAUGGGAGCUGAAGCUGAAACAUGUUGGGUACCAUCAAAAACUUUUGAAGGUCCUUGCAACCGUAGUGAAGAUUGUUUUGAUGCAUGCGUUACAGAAAGUUAUCCUUAUGGUGAAUGCAAAGUAGUUGCUGGCAAGUACAUUCGAUGCAUGUGUUACAUGGGCUGUCAAGUUGAGUAAUAGCUAGCAAAUUUCCCAUCUUCAAAUCCAAUGAAAUGAAUUGAGAACAUUGUAGCCAAAAUUCUUAUAAACUAAUUAGAAAUAUGUUGUUCUCGAAA